rnacentral:rRNA from 1 species
CCUACGGGUGGCAGCAGUAGGGAAUAUUGCUCAAUGGGGGAAACCCUGAAGCAGCAACGCCGCGUGGAGGAUGAAGGUUUUCGGAUUGUAAACUCCUUUUGUUAGAGAAGAUAAUGACGGUAUCUAACGAAUAAGCACUGGCUAACUCCGUUCCAGCAGCCGCGGUAAUACGGAGGGUGCAAGCGUGACUCGGAAUCACUGGGCGUAAAGAGCGUGUAGGUGGGAUAGCAAGGCAGCUGUGAAAACCCAUGGCCUAACCAUAGAACUGCAUUUGAAACUGUUAAUCUAGAGUGUGGGAGAGGAGAGUGGAAUUCCAGGUGUAGGGGUAAAAGCCGUAGAUAUCUGGAGGAAUA